rnacentral:ncRNA from 1 species
ACGACCGGUCGGACACGCACGCCCAUGGCAGCGGAUCCGGCCCACAAGUGGAGGCUUCGAACUCCCACCUGGCCGUCCUCCGGACGGCGGGUCACCGGUCAGGCGGUCCCGUCCCACGGCGGUGACCAGCCCGAAAUCGCGCCCCGCGGUCAUAGCGGCGGUGCUCCGGUAGCAGUUCGAGGAGCCCCGCCUGUGAUCGUCCGGGGCAUUUUUU